rnacentral:lncRNA from 1 species
ACACCAUCAUUCUACUGCAGAAAUAUCUGUUCAGAGCACCAUUAUAUUACCGCGGAAAUAUCUAAUCAUAACAUCAGCUUUCUACUGCAGGAUUAUCUAUUGAGAACACCAUCAUUCUACUGCAGAAAUAUCUGUUCAGAGCACCAUUAUAUUACUGCUGAAAUAUCUAAUCAUAACAUCAGCUUUUUCUUGCAGGAUUACCUAUUGAGAACACCAGCAUUCUACUGCAGAUUUAUCUACUCAGAAUGUCAUGAUUCUACUGCCACAGUAUCUAACCAUAACACCAGCAUUCUACUGUAGAAAUAUUUAUUCAGAACACCAUCAGUCUACUGCCAAAAUAUCUAAUCAUAACACCAGCAUUCUACUGCAGAAAAAUCUAUUCAGAACACCAUCAGUCUGCUGCCAAAAUAUCUAUUAAUAACACCAUCAUUCUACUGCAGAAAUAUAUGUUCAGAACACCAUCCGUCUACUGCCAAAAUAUCUAAUCAUAACACCAGCAUUCUACUGCAGAAUUAUCUAUUGAGAACACAAGCUUUCUACUGCAGAAUCAUCUGGUCAGAAUGCCAUGAUUCUACUGCAGAAAUAUCCAAUCAUAACACAAGCAUUCUACUACAGAAAUAUCUAUUCAGAAUACCAUCAUUCUACUGCAGAAAUAUCUAUUGAGAACACCAGCAUUCUACUCCAACAAUAUCUAAUCACAUAACACCAGCAUUCUAGUGCAGAACAUAUAUCAAGAGCACUGUUGUUUUACUGCCGGAAUAACUAUUUAUGGAAUUCUAAACAGCUCCACCUUUCUACUGCAGGCACAGCUGAUCAGACAGCCAUUUUAUCCCUGGUGCUUCCAGCCAGAACACCAACACGGUUAUUCACUAAACACUGCAUUCUAACAAAUUUAAUUACAAAAAUGAAGCUAAUAUAGCAGGUUUACAAAACAAUCUCCAGCUUGGCUAUUUCAGUCUACAGUCCCAGCUUGGCUAUUUCAGUCUCAUUUUUGACAUUCAUAUCACAUUCGCAAAAAUUUGGUGUUAGUGAAUAACCCUUUAGUAAAUCAGCACUACCACAAACAUACACAGAACAUCUCCUGUCUAUUGCAGGUAAUCUUGGCAGAUAAUCGCCAUUCUACCAUAGGCAUCUAGAAAGCACUCUAUAAAUGUCUAAAUGCAACCAACCUUUACUUCGUAACAUUAUUAAUUCUCUCUAGAAAAUACUAUUCACUAUAAUAAGGCCUUGUUCAACUGAGGACGAAAGGGACUUAUUUAGCUGUAGGCAAGUCUUCAUUCCGUCUUGGCUCUAGAUCAAUAACUACAUUACCCUUGAUGCUGAAAGGUAUCCAGAAAAGUUGCUACAUUGUUAUUGGAAAGGAUUACUCAAAUGCCUCACAAUGUGGAAUCUUGUCCAUCAUUUCCCUCAGCUUCCUGAAGAAAAGCCAAAAAACCCUAAAACGUGUACAGAAAACAAAUGUGUUCAUCAUAAUUUCUCCUUUGAAAUACACUGAAUAAUACAUAAUCUUUUGCCCGUUUUCGGACCACACUUCUAAAAUAGAUGGACCUCUUUUACUAUCAGGUUGAAGUUAGAACAAAACUCAAUUUAGGGGUGAUGGAGCCUCAUCCAUAAGUAGAUAGCGGCUGCCUAAAGCCCAGGGAUUACCAGGGCCCAAGAACUUUGAAUUUGCUUGGCCCUAUUAAGCAUACCUUUGUGAAGAACGAUGGGGGGCCCAAACUGGUAACCUACCUACAACCACCCCGUGGGACCUUAAUCCUUCCCAUGAAGUCUACGCAAUGACCUAGAGGUUCCUUCCCUAAGCAAUGCAUUGAUAUUUAAAUAAAC